AUGGGGUGCAGCAGGCGCGAAGCCUCCGCAAUACACGAAAGCGUGACGGGGUUACCCAAAGUGUUCAAUUUUGAACUGUGGUAGGUGAGUAAUGUUCCCUACUAGAAAGGAGAGGGCAAGGCUGGUGCCAGCCGCCGCGGUAAAACCAGCUCUUCAAGUGGUCGGGAUAAUUAUUGGGCUUAAGGUGUCCGUGGCCGGUUUAGUAAGUUCCUGGUAAAAUCGGGUAGCUUAACUAUCUAUAUGCUAGGAAUACUGCUAUACUAGAGGGCGGGAGAGGUCUGAGGUACUACAGGGGUAGGGGUGAAAUCUUAUAAUCCUUGUAGGACCACCAGUGGCGAAGGCGUCAGACUGGAACGCGCCUGACGGUGAGGGACGAAAGCCAGGGGAGCGAACCGGAUUAGAUACCCGGGUAGUCCUGGCCGUAAACGAUGCAUACUAGGUGAUGGCACGGCCAUGAGCCGUGUCAGUGCCGUAGGGAAACCGUUAAGUGUGCCGCCUGGGAAGUACGGUCGCAAGGCUAAAACUUAAAGGAAUUGGCGGGGGAGCAC
rnacentral:rRNA from 1 species